GGAGGCGGAUGCCGGCUGGUGUCGACCCCGGACUUCAAAUCCGGUGCGGGGUGGCCAGGGCUGCUCUGGGUGGGUUCGAUUCCCACACGCCUCCGCCA
rnacentral:tRNA from 1 species